GUAGAACCCUGACAGAAUUUGGAGUGUUCCUUUGCCUCCCUGACCUCCCAGUGUUGGCAGUGUGGAGACAAUGCACUGGGAGGACUGGGCUGUGAA
rnacentral:lncRNA from 1 species